GCAAGUCGAACGAGAACGCUCCUUCGGGAGUUAUUAAAGUGGCGCACGGGUGAGUAACGCGUAAGUAAUCUACCCUCGCAUCUGGGAUAACCCACCGAAAGGUGUGCUAAUACCGGAUACGUCUAAGUUAAUAUCUUUUUUUUAGAGAAAGGUGGCCUCUGAUUCAAGCUACUGUGCGGGGAGGAGCUUGCGUACCAUUAGCUAGUUGGUAGGGUAACGGCCUACCAAGGCGACGAUGGUUAGCGGGUCUGAGAGGAUGAUC
rnacentral:rRNA from 1 species